rnacentral:rRNA from 1 species
CAGUCGCCGCGGGAAUACAGAGGGUGCAAGCGUUAAUCGGAUUUACUGGGCGUAAAGGGCGCGUAGGUGGUUAUGUAAGUGAGAUGUGAAAUCCCCGGGCUCAACCUGGGAACUGCAUCUUAUACUGCGUAGCUGGAGUGCAGUAGAGGGUAGUGGAAUUUCCGGUGUAGCGGUGAAAUGCGUAGAUAUCGGAAGGAACACCAGUGGCGAAGGCGGCUACCUGGACUGACACUGACACUGAGGCGCGAAAGCGUGGGGAGCAAACAGGAUUAGAUACCCCCGUAGUCCCUGUCUCUUAUAC